rnacentral:rRNA from 1 species
GACGAACGCUGGCGGCGCGCUUAACACAUGCAAGUCGAGCGGAAAGGCCCUUUCGGGGAUACUCGAGCGGCGAACGGGUGAGUAACACGUGAGUAAUCUGCCCUGUGCUUUGGGAUAGCCACCGGAAACGGUGAUUAAUACCGGAUACGACCAACCUACGCAUGUGGUGUUGGUGGAAAGUUUUUCGGCGCAGGAUGUGCUCGCGGCCUAUCAGCUUGUUGGUGGGGUAAUGGCCUACCAAGGCUUCGACGGGUAGCCGGCCUGAGAGGGUGACCGGCCACACUGGGACUGAGACACGGCCCAGACUCCUACGGGAGGUAGCAGUGGGGAAUAUUGGACAAUGGGCGGAAGCCUGAUCCAGCAACGCCGCGGGAGGGAUGACGGCCUUCGGGUUGUAAACCUCUUUCAGCACCGACGAAGCGAGAGUGACGGUAGGUGCAGAAGAAGGACCGGCCAACUACGUGCCAGCAGCCGCCGUAACAC